AGAGCGAACGCUGGCGGCAGGCCUAACACAUGCAAGUCGAGCGCCCGUAGCAAUACGGGAGCGGCAGACGGGAUAGUAACACGUGGGAACGCGCCCUUCGGUUCGGAAUAACUCAGGGAAACUUGAGCUAAUACCGGAUACGCCCUUACGGGGAAAGAUUUAUUGCCGAAGGAACGGCCCGCGUCCGAUUAGCUAGUUGGUGAGGUAAUGGCUCACCAAGGCGACGAUCGGUAGCUGGUCUGAGAGGAUGACCAGCAUCACUGGGACUGAGACACGGCCCAGACUCCUACGGGAGGCAGCAGUGGGGAAUAUUGGACAAUGGGCGCAAGCCUGAUCCAGCCAUGCCGCGUGGAUGAUGAAGGCCUUAGGGUUGUAAAGUCUUUAACGGGAAGAUAAUGACGGUACCGUAGAAUAAGCCCCGGCUAACUUCGUGCCAGCAGCCGC
rnacentral:rRNA from 1 species